rnacentral:rRNA from 1 species
CCUACGGGUGGCUGCAGUGGGGAAUAUUGCACAAUGGGGGAAACCCUGAUGCAGCAACGCCGCGUGAAGGAAGAAGGCCCUCGGGUUGUAAACUUCUUUUAUCAGGGACGAAACAAAUGACGGUACCUGAUGAAUAAGCCACGGCUAACUACGUGCCAGCAGCCGCGGUAAUACGUAGGUGGCAAGCGUUAUCCGGAUUUACUGGGUGUAAAGGGCGUGUAGGCGGGAGAGCAAGUCAGACGUGAAAUUCCAGGGCUCAACCCUGGAACUGCGUUUGAAACUGUUCUUCUUGAGUGAUGGAGAGGCAGGCGGAAUUCCGUGUGUAGCGGUGAAAUGCGUAGAUAUACGGAGGAACACCAGUGGCGAAGGCGGCCUGCUGGACAUUAACUGACGCUGAGGCGCGAAAGCGUGGGGAGCAAACAGGAUUAGAUACCCCUGUAGUC